CACCUAGAAUAUCAUAUUAUAUUUAGUUGUCAAGUCUCCUUCAGUUUGUCUUGGCUAUGACAGUCUCAAAAUGUAUUUGUUUUGAUGGCCUUGAAGCUAGCGUUGUAUAUUUUGAAGAAUGUCUCUCAGUUGGAUUGUCUGAUGUUUUUCCCACGAUUAGACUGGAUGACGGGUUUUGGGGAGGAAGACCACAAAGGAAAUUGAAAGACGAUACAUGAAGUGUCUUCAGGUUUCCACGGAAAUGGAAUUAAAUGAGAAACAUGUGGCACUUUCUGAUGGAUACAGAUCAUCCUGAAAUCACUUCACAUCUGCUGGCUAAAUAGAGAAAUAACUAUAAAUCUUUUCAAAAACAAAGGAAAGAAAAAUGUAGGAAAUACAUCAAGUAAUACCUUUAUGGCACCAUUCCUAUGACUCUAUAAAGAGGGUUAUUUAUAAUGGUGGAAUUAUUUGUCACACAUCAUAUAAAAAAAGAAAAUUAAAAUUAUCGAUGGGUUAUAAUGGUAAACAUGAUCUUGUAAACUCUAAAUAUUUCACCUUACUAGAUGUACACCUUAGUUUUCAUUUUUAGCAACAUUUUAAAAAGUAGAGAUGUAUGAAUAUUCAGCAUGGUUUAAUCUGAGAUCAUUUGAAUAUUUUUAAAACAAUCCUUAGUAAAAAUUUAAAUAAGUUUAUCUUGUCCUCAUGUUUGUGUGUGUGCCUAUAGGGCUAUUCUGAAGUAAUGUUAAUGGUGAAAAAUGUAUGCUAUGGAAUAAAUUCUUUAUAACUGUAGACCUACUACUUCAUGAAAAAUGUGUAUAAAGCACACAGAAUUCAGACGUCUUCCUUCCAAAAUUAGUCCCAGGUUCAUGCUUCCCCCCAUCAUGCUCCAUUUCCAAUUACACACCAUUGAUUUAUUCAAAUGUAAUUAUGUAAGAAUUUUUAUUUUUAAACUUAACAAAAAUACAUUUUUCAUCACUUCAGGAAAUAAUAUAUGUAUUUAUGAGAGUUAAAAAGACAAUGUUUUAUCGAUAUAUAACUCGUUUCAUGUUUCAAGUGUAAAGGCAAAGUGUAUUAUCACAUAUAAAUAUUUUCAUGUGAAAAUACAAAAAUAAACUCUCAUGCAUAUUCAUAUAAAAUAAAACAAGAGUAUGACCACAAAAA